UACGUAGGGUGCAAGCGUUGUCCGGAAUUAUUGGGCGUAAAGAGCUCGUAGGCGGUUUGUCGCGUCUGCUGUGAAAACCCGAGGCUCAACCUCGGGCCUGCAGUGGGUACGGGCAAACUAGAGUGCGGUAGGGGAGAUUGGAAUUCCUGGUGUAGCGGUGGAAUGCGCAGAUACCAGGAGGAACACCGAUGGCGAAGGCGGGUCUCUGGGCAACAACUGACGCUGAGGAGCGAAAGCGUGGGGAGCGAACAGG
rnacentral:rRNA from 1 species